rnacentral:rRNA from 2 species
ACUCCUACGGGAGGCAGCAGUGGGGAAUAUUGGGCAAUGGAGGAAACUCUGACCCAGCGACGCCGCGUGCGGGAUGAAGGCCUUCGGGUUGUAAACCGCUUUCAGUAGGGAAGAAGCGAAAGUGACGGUACCUACAAAAGAAGCACCGGCUAACUAUGUGCCAGCAGCCGCGGUAAUAC